rnacentral:tRNA from 1 species
GUUUUUAUCGUCUAAUGGUCAGGACGUUACUCUUUCACAGUAGAAAUAUAGGUUCAAUUCCUGUUAAAAACA